rnacentral:lncRNA from 1 species
CCGCCCCUGCUUAGAACACGGAUUUUGGUUUUGAUUUUGAUGUUGGACAUAGAUUUGGGACUUGGAGAUGAGAUAGAAGCUGAACAAUAUCUGAUUAAACAUGUAAUAGAAUGCACAAAAUGAAGUAGCAAGCAGAAGAACAGAAACAAUAACAACCUACUUAAGAGGUAAAAAACAAAAUUACCAUUUUGCCCAUGGGAAAAGGACAAAAUAGAAGGAUUUUAUAACACAAACAUGACAUGAUUUCACUUUUGGACUAAAAUGGCAAUAAAACUGAAACCACAGGGACCCAGAUGCAAAAAGUUUGAGAUUUGGACUAA